rnacentral:ncRNA from 1 species
AUGAAAAAGGCAAACUAGUAGAAAUACUAGGACGCAAAGUUAUAGGGACUAAGAAAAAUAUUUUAAGUCAGCCAACUACCA